rnacentral:ribozyme from 1 species
GGAAAGAAGUUGUUCACCUUUUGCACUAUGGAGUCGCCGGGAACACAGAUCUUUCGAGUUUACAAGACCAUCCUGGAGAUGAUGAAAGACAGGAUGUAC